GAUGAACGCUGGCGGCGUGCCUAAUACAUGCAAGUCGAGCGAAUGGAUUAAGAGCUUGCUCUUAUGAAGUUAGCGGCGGACGGGUGAGUAACACGUGGGUAACCUGCCCAUAAGACUGGGAUAACUCCGGGAAACCGGGGCUAAUACCGGAUAACAUUUUGAACCGCAUGGCUCGAAAUUGAAAGGCGGCUUCGGCUGUCACUUAUGGAUGGACCCGCGUCGCAUUAGCUAGUUGGUGAGGUAACAGCUCACCAAGGCAACGAUGCGUAGCCGACCUGAGAGGGUGAUCGGCCACACUGGGACUGAGACACGGCCCAGACUCCUACGGGAGGCAGCAGUAGGGAAUCUUCCGCAAUGGACGAAAGUCUGACGGAGCAACGCCGCGUGAGUGAUGAAGGCUUUCGGGUCGUAAAACUCUGUUGUUAGGGAAGAACAAGUGCUAGUUGAAUAAGCUGACACCUUGACGGUACCUAACCAGAAAGCCACGGCUAACUACGUGCCAGCCGCCGCAGUAA
rnacentral:rRNA from 1 species